rnacentral:rRNA from 1 species
GUCGAACGGCAGCACGGGGNGCAACCCUGGUGGCGAGUGGCGAACGGGUNNNNNNNNNNUCGGAACGUGUCCUGUAGUGGGGGAUAGCCCGGCNAAAGCCGGAUUAAUACCGCAUACGCUCUACGGAGGAAAGGGGGGGAUCUUAGGACCUCCCGCUACAGGGGCGGCCGAUGGCAGAUUAGCUAGUUGGUGGGGUAAAGGCCUACCAAGGCGACGAUCUGUAGCUGGUCUGAGAGGACGACCAGCCACACUGGGACUGAGACACGGCCCAGACUCCUACGGGAGGCAGCAGUGGGGAAUUUUGGACAAUGGGCGAAAGCCUGAUCCAGCAAUGCCGCGUGUGUGAAGAAGGCCUUCGGGUUGUAAAGCACUUUUGUCCGGAAAGAAAACCUCCGCCCUAAUAUGGUGGGGGGAUGACGGUACCGGAAGAAUAAGCACCGGCUAACUACGUGCCAGCAGCCGCGGUAAUACGUAGGGUGCAAGCGUUAAUCGGAAUUACUGGGCGUAAAGCGUGCGCAGGCGGUCCGCUAAGACAGAUGUGAAAUCCCCGGGCUUAACCUGGGAACUGCAUUUGUGACUGGCGGGCUAGAGUAUGGCAGAGGGGGGUAGAAUUCCACGUGUAGCAGUGAAAUGCGUAGAGAUGUGGANGGAAUACCGAUGGCGAAGGNCAGCCCCCUGGGCCAAUACUGACGCUCAUGCACGAAAGCGUGGGGGAGCAAACAGGAUUAGAUACCCUGGUAGUCCACGCCCUAAACGAUGUCAACAAGUUGUUGGGGAUUCAUUUCCUUAGUAACGUAGCUAACGCGUGAAGUUGACCGCCUGGGGAGUACGGUCGCAAGAUUAAAACUCAAAGGAAUUGACGGGGACCCGCACAAGCGGUGGAUGAUGUGGAUUAAUUCGAUGCAACGCGAAAAACCUUACCUACCCUUGACAUGUAUGGAACCCUGCUGAGAGGUGGGGGUGCCCGAAAGGGAGCCAUAACACAGGUGCUGCAUGGCUGUCGUCAGCUCGUGUCGUGAGAUGUUGGGUUAAGUCCCGCAACGAGCGCAACCCUUGUCCCUAGUUGCUACGCAAGAGCACUCUAGGGAGACUGCCGGUGACAAACCGGAGGAAGGUGGGGAUGACGUCAAGUCCUCAUGGCCCUUAUGGGUAGGGCUUCACACGUCAUACAAUGGUCGGAACAGAGGGUCGCCAACCCGCGAGGGGGAGCCAAUCCCAGAAAACCGAUCGUAGUCCGGAUCGCACUCUGCAACUCGAGUGCGUGAAGCUGGAAUCGCUAGUAAUCGCGGAUCAGCAUGNCGCGGUGAAUACGUUCCCGGGUCUUGUACACACCGCCCNNNNNNNCAUGGGAGUGGGUUUUCCCAGAAGUGGNUAGUCUNNCCGCAAGGAG